CCUACGGGCGGCAGCAGUGGGGAAUAUUGCACAAUGGGGGAAACCCUGAUGCAGCGACGCCGCGUGAAGGAAGAAGUAUUUCGGUAUGUAAACUUCUAUCAGCAGGGAAGAAAAUGACGGUACCUGACUAAGAAGCCCCGGCUAACUACGUGCCAGCAGCCGCGGUAAUACGUAGGGGGCAAGCGUUAUCCGGAUUUACUGGGUGUAAAGGGAGCGUAGGCGGUUUAGCAAGUCAGAAGUGAAAGCCCGGGGCUCAACUCCGGGACUGCUUUUGAAACUGUUGAACUAGAGUGCAGGAGAGGUAAGUGGAAUUCCUAGUGUAGCGGUGAAAUGCGUAGAUAUUAGGAGGAACACCAGUGGCGAAGGCGGCUUACUGGACUGUAAAUGACGCUGAGGCUCGAAAGCGUGGGGAGCAAACAGGAUUAGAUACCCCAGUAGUC
rnacentral:rRNA from 1 species